rnacentral:rRNA from 1 species
AACGAACGCUGGCGGCGUGCCUAACACAUGCAAGUCGUGCGAGAAAAGGGGGGCAACCCCCUGAGUAAAGCGGCGCACGGGUGAGUAACACGUAGGUAAUCUACCCUCGAGUCCAGGAUAACCCGCCGAAAGGUGAGCUAAUACCGGAUAUGACCACGGGAGUUUCGGCUCCUGCGGUGAAAGGUGGCCUCUGCUUGCAA